rnacentral:lncRNA from 1 species
CACGUUCACCGCCCGCAUCGUACGCGGUCCCGCGGCCAUCUGCGAAAACCUCUUCACGCCUCUCGGGUCCUUCCCGACGAACCCGGUGAAUCUCAGCACGAGCGUCGCGGACGUGCCGUCCGCGCUCUUCUCCGCGGAGACGCGCGACGGCGCGAGCGAAUGGAAUUUGAUCCCGCGGCUCAGGCGCGACUUCACGACGUUUUCGACGAAAUUCAGUUGCGCCUCCGCCUUCGCCGCGGACAUGCCCGUGAUCGCGUACGUCGCCGUGACGGUCGUCGACGUCACCGCGUCCGCCGGAGUCGAAGGCACGGGAAGAGGAGAAACCGGACCCGGUGACACAGGAUGCUCCGAUGACACCGCAGUAGAAGCCGAUGAGACCGGUGAUGAAGGCGCCUCGGGCGCCGCGGGCGCGGGCGUCGACCCUCGCACGUUUUCACCCUCGCUCUUCGCCGUCGUCGCCGUCGUCGUCGUCGUCUCCUUCGUCGUCUCUUUCGUCGUUUCCCCCCACUCCUCCGCGUUCCACGGCCCCGCGACCGCGAGCGUCACCGCGCCGAGCUUCGAGCAUUCGCACGCGUACGCGUCGCCGCCGAGAGACGUGAUCUCGCAGCCGGCGUCGUCGCGUGUCCUCCACGCGACGUCCUUCUCCGCGAGCGACCCGGCGCCAUCCGCGGAGACGGUAUUGAGCGUCGCGCAGUAGAGACGCUUCGCGUGCGUCGCCGGGACUUUACUCGCGUGCGUCGCGCCGUCGCGCGUCACCGCGCCGAGACGCGACGUGAGCGUCACGCGGACGCGGAGGCUGUCGAGCGCGUCGAUUUGCCCGUAGAACUCGUCCACGACGGCGAACGACGCGACGACGUCGCUCGCGAUGAUCGGCAGCCCGCACGAGUCCGAGUCGCGGUCCGAGUCGU